GCCCGGUUAGCUCAGUCGGUAGAGCACCGGACUCUUAAUCUGGCUGUGGUGGGUUCGAGCCCCGCAUCAGGCU
rnacentral:tRNA from 1 species